rnacentral:rRNA from 1 species
UACGUAGGGGGGCAAGCGUUGUCCGGAAUCAUUGGGCGUAAAGAGCGUGUAGGCGGUCCGAUAAGUCCGCUCUGAAAGCCCGGGGCUCAACCCCGGGAGGCGGGCGGAUACUGUCGGGCUAGAGUCCGGAAGAGGCGAGUGGAAUUCCUGGUGUAGCGGUGAAAUGCGCAGAUAUCAGGAGGAACACCGAUGGCGAAGGCAGCUCGCUGGGACGUGACUGGCGCUGAGACGCGAAAGCGUGGGGAGCAAACAGG